GACGAACGCUGGCGGCGUGCUUAACACAUGCAAGUCGAGCGGUAAGGCCCUUUCGGGGGUACACGAGCGGCGAACGGGUGAGUAACACGUGGGUGACCUGCCUCUAGCUCUGGGAUAAGCCUGGGAAGCUGGGUCUAAUACCGGAUAUGACCUCGCGGUGCAUGUUGCGGGGUGGAAAGCCUUGUGCGGCUAGGGAUGGGCCCGCGGCCUAUCAGCUUGUUGGUGGGGUGANGGCCUACCAAGGCGACGACGGGUAGCCGGCCUGAGAGGGCGACCGGCCACACUGGGACUGAGACACGGCCCAGACUCCUACGGGAGGCAGCAGUGGGGAAUCUUGCGCAAUGGGCGAAAGCCUGACGCAGCGACGCCGCGUGAGGGAUGACGGCCUGGUGUAAC
rnacentral:rRNA from 1 species